rnacentral:rRNA from 1 species
GAAAACUACAAGCGUAAGCUCUAAACUCAAAGGGUCUGGCGGCACUUUAAACCAUCUAGAGGAGCCUGUCCUAUAAUCGAUAAUCCCCGUUAAACCCUACCUUCUUUUGCAAUUGGUCAGCCUGUAUACCGCCGUCGUCAGCUUUCCCCUUAAGGGUCGCACAGUAGGCAAAACUGGUUUUACCCAAAACGCCAGGUCGAGGCACAGCUCACAUGAAGGAAAGAGGCGGGCUACAUUUCCUAUAUAGGAAAUACGGAUAGUGUACUGAAAUGUAUACAUUGAAGGAGGAUUUAGUAGUAAGUAAAAAAUAGAGUGUUUUACUGAAUAAUAUCUUAAAGUGCGUACACACCGCCCGUCGUUCUCUCUUCGUUUUUUUCCUUUAUUGGGUUACAUAAAUUUAAAUAUAUAUAUGUUUAACAAGAGAGGCAAGUCGUAACAAGGUAAGCAUACUGGAAAGUGUGCUUGGUUUA